GAUGAACGCUGGCGGCGUGCCUAAUACAUGCAAGUCGAGCGAACAGAUGAGGAGCUUGCUCCUCUGACGUUAGCGGCGGACGGGUGAGUAACACGUGGAUAACCUACCUAUAAGACUGGGAUAACUUCGGGAAACCGGAGCUAAUACCGGAUAAUAUAUUGAACCGCAUGGUUCAAUAGUGAAAGACGGUUUUGCUAUCACUUAUAGAUGGAUCCGCGCCGCAUUAGCUAGUUGGUAAGGUAACGGCUUACCAAGGCAACGAUGCGUAGCCGACCUGAGAGGGUGAUCGGCCACACUGGAACUGAGACACGGUCCAGACUCCUACGGGAGGCAGCAGUAGGGAAUCUUCCGCAAUGGGCGAAAGCUUGACGGAGCAACGCCGCGUGAGUGAUGAAGGUCUUCGGAUCGUAAAACUCUGUUAUUAGGGAAGAACAAAUGUGUAAGUAACUAUGCACGUCUUGACGGUACCUAAUCAGAAAGCCACGGCUAACUACGUG
rnacentral:rRNA from 1 species